rnacentral:rRNA from 1 species
CUACGGGAGGCAGCAGUGAGGAAUAUUGGUCAAUGGACGAGAGUCUGAACCAGCCAAGUAGCGUGAAGGAUGACUGCCCUAUGGGUUGUAAACUUCUUUUAUAAGGGAAUAAAGUGAGGGACGUGUCCCUUUUUGUAUGUACCUUAUGAAUAAGGAUCGGCUAACUCCGUGCCAGCAGCCGCGGUAAUACGGAGGAUCCAAGCGUUAUCCGGAUUUAUUGGGUUUAAAGGGAGCGUAGGUUGACAUAUAAGUCAGCUGUGAAAGUUUACGGCUCAACCGUGAAAUUGCAGUUGAUACUGUAUGUCUUGAGUGUACAAGAGGUGGGCGGAAUUCGUGGUGUAGCGGUGAAAUGCUUAGAUAUCACGAAGAACUCCAAUUGCGAAGGCAGCUCACCGGGGUACAACUGACACUGAGGCUCGAAAGCGUGGGUAUCAAACAGGAUUAGAUACCCUGGUAGUCCACACAGUAAACGAUGAAUACUCGCUGUUUGCGA